UUCGCUCAUUUUAAUGCAUACUUAGCGUUGUCUGUCUUUCAGCCAAUCAGCUAGGGCGAAUCUUACGUCACGUUGAUUAAUAUUAAUGAGGCACAAACCUCUGGGUGGAUCCCGGUAGAAACACUGAUGUUGAUGAUAAAUACUGCUGUCAUCUCAACCAGAUCACAUUCACUGCUUAUUCAUCAUGGACUUCGAUCUGUGCUCAGCUGUUGGAGAUGAUGAGGUGAAGAAGCAGGAGGGCAACGAGGUGGAGGGCAUCUUUGGCUUUGGAAAAAAAGAUAAAGACAAAGAAGAAAAAGAUAAAGAGUGUAAGGACAAAGACAAAGAUAGUGACAAGCCAAAGAGUGAUUGCAAAGAAGAGGAUAAAGACAAGGACAAGUGCAAAGACAAAGAGAAGGACAAGAGCAAAGACAAAGAGAAGGACAAGUGCAAAGACAAGGAAAAGAAGAAGGAUAAAGAGCACAAAAAGGGGCACGGACAUGGUCAUGGUCGGGGACGUGGACGCGGACGCGGACACAGGUCAUCCUCUUCAUCCAGUGAUGAGGACUAAAGCUGAAGACUGAAGACAUAAGGGGGCUGGGGCAAGUUGUCACACAGGGAAAAUGUCCUAAGGGAUUUAUUUUUAUAGCAACUGUGAGGUUUUGUCAAAAAAAUCCAAUUGCACAAAUGCUUGUUUUCUAGCAGUGGUUUUAUAUGUUGGUUUCAAACACCUAGUUGCUCCAUUUGUAUUAAAUUAGGAUAAUAUUUUUGGAAUUGUGUCCUACAGACAAAAAUUUCAGUACUAUUAUCUUUUUAUACAUUGGUGCGAGCUGUUACAUGAGUUCUGUGAUGUACUGCAUAUACAGUAUCUAUGAAAAUCUCCUGUUAUUUUUUUGUUUUUUAAUUUUUUUGCUGUUUGUUUUACUGUUAAAGACAUUAUAUAGCCUGUAAUACAUUUGAAAUAUUAUAUUGUGGAAAAUGGAUUGAUUUUAUGUAUUUUAGUAUGUCAUGUUUGUUUUCUCAAAACAAUUCCCAUUCUUGUGAUUUAUCCCAUAUAUAGUGACAACAUGGCCCACUAAACAUAAGUCAACAUAAUGAACGUUAGGCUAUAUUUAUACUGGAUAAUAAUGAUAGACAUGUCCAAUAGUUGUUUCAGGGUGGUGACUAUUGAAAAAGUGACAUAAGUGACUUUUCAAAAUAAACUUACUGUGAGAAAUUAAUUGGUAUAAAAAGUUGUCCUAGACUCCUUUAUUUACACUACAGUACAACAUAUAUAUAUAUAUAUAUAUACACAGUGGGUACGGAAAGUAUUCAGAC
rnacentral:lncRNA from 1 species